rnacentral:rRNA from 1 species
CGCGGCCUAUCAGCUUGUUGGCGGGGUAACGGCCCACCAAGGCUACGACGGGUAGCUGGUUUGAGAGAACGAUCAGCCACACUGGAACUGAGACACGGUCCAGACUCCUACGGGAGGCAGCAGUGGGGAAUCUUGCGCAAUGGGCGAAAGCCUGACGCAGCAACGCCGCGUGCGGGAUGAAGGCCUUCGGGUUGUAAACCGCUUUCAGCAGGGACGAAAAUGACGGUACCUGCAGAAGAAGCUCCGGCUAACUACGUGCCAGCAGCCGCGGUAAUACGUAGGGAGCAAGCGUUGUCCGGAUUUAUUGGGCGUAAAGAGCUCGUAGGCGGUUCCGUAAGUCGAGUGUGAAAAAUCUGGGCUCAACCCAGUGAAGCACUCGAUACUGCGGUGACUAGAGUACGGUAGAGGAGUGUGGAAUUUGUGGUGCAGCGGUGAAAUGCGCAGAUAUCACAAGGAACACCAACGGCGAAAGCAGCACUCUGGGCCGGUACUGACGCUGAGGAGCGAAAGCGUGGGGAGCAAACAGGAUUAGAUACCCUGGUAGUCCACGCCGUAAACGUUGGGCACUAGGUGUGGGGAGGAAUCAACCCUUUCCGUGCCGUAGCUAACGCAUUAAGUGCCCCGCCUGGGGAGUACGGA